rnacentral:rRNA from 1 species
GGAGGGUGCAAGCGUUAAUCGGAAUUACUGGGCGUAAAGCGCGCGUAGGCGGUUCUGUAAGUCGGAUGUGAAAGCCCUGGGCUUAACCUGGGAAUUGCAUUCGAAACUGCAGGACUAGAGUAUGGUAGAGGGAAGUGGAAUUUCCGGUGUAGCGGUGAAAUGCGUAGAUAUCGGAAGGAACACCAGUGGCGAAGGCGACUUCCUGGGCCAAUACUGACGCUGAGGUGCGAAAGCGUGGGGAGCAAACAGGGAUUAGAUACCCUGGUAGUCCACGCCGUAAACGAUGAGGACUAGAUGUUGGGAGGGUUACCUUUCGGUGUCGCAGCUAACGCGUUAAGUUCUCCGCCUGGGGAGUACGCCGGCAACGGUA